rnacentral:rRNA from 1 species
UGAGACACGGACCAAACUCCUACGGGAGGCAGCAGUGAGGAAUAUUGGUCAAUGGCCGAGAGGCUGAACCAGCCAAGUCGCGUGAGGGAUGAAGGUUCUAUGGAUCGUAAACCUCUUUUAUAAGGGAAUAAAGUGACCCACGUGUGGGUUUUUGUAUGUACCUUAUGAAUAAGGAUCGGCUAACUCCGUGCCAGCAGCCGCGGUAAUACGGAGGAUCCGAGCGUUAUCCGGAUUUAUUGGGUUUAAAGGGUGCGUAGGCGGCCUUUUAAGUCAGCGGUGAAAGUCUGUGGCUCAACCAUAGAAUUGCCGUUGAAACUGGGGGGCUUGAGUAUGUUUGAGGCAGGCGGAAUGCGUGGUGUAGCGGUGAAAUGCAUAGAUAUCACGCAGAACCCCGAUUGCGAAGGCAGCCUGCCAAGCCAUUACUGACGCUGAUGCACGAAAGCGUGGGGAUCAAACAGGAUUAGAUACCCUGGUAGUCCACGCAGUAAACGAUGAUCACUAGCUGUUUGCGAUACACUGUAAGCGGCACAGCGAAAGCGUUAAGUGAUCCACCUGGGGAGUACGCCGGCAACGGUGAAACUCAAAGGAAUUGACGGGGGCCCGCACAAGCGGAGGAACAUGUGGUUUAAUUCGAUGAUACGCGAGGAACCUUACCCGGGUUUGAACGCAUUCGGACCGAGGUGGAAACACCUUUUCUAGCAAUAGCCGUUUGCGAGGUGCUGCAUGGUUGUCGUCAGCUCGUGCCGUGAGGUGUCGGCUUAAGUGCCAUAACGAGCGCAACCCUUGCCACUAGUUACUAACAGGUAAAGCUGAGGACUCUGGUGGGACUGCCAGCGUAAGCUGCGAGGAAGGCGGGGAUGACGUCAAAUCAGCACGGCCCUUACAUCCGGGGCGACACACGUGUUACAAUGGCGUGGACAAAGGGAGGCCACCUGGCGACAGGGAGCGAAUCCCCAAACCACGUCUCAGUUCGGAUCGGAGUCUGCAACCCGACUCCGUGAAGCUGGAUUCGCUAGUAAUCGCGCAUCAGCCAUGGCGCGGUGAAUACGUUCCCGGGCCUUGUACACACCGCCCGUCAAGCCAUGGGAGCCGGGGGUACCUGAAGUCCGUAACCGCGAGGAUCGGCCUAGGGUAAAACUGGUGACUGGGGCUAAGUCGUAACAAGGUAGCCGUACCGGAAGGUGCGGCUG